rnacentral:rRNA from 1 species
GUGGGGAAUAUUGGGCAAUGGAGGCAACUCUGACCCAGCAACGCCGCGUGAGCGAUGAAGGUCUUCGGAUUGUAAAGCUCUUUAAGCGGGGACGAAGAAAGUGACUGUACCCGCAGAAUAAGCCUCGGCUAACUACGUGCCAGCAGCCGCGGUAAUACGUAGGAGGCAAGCGUUAUCCGGAAUGACUGGGCGUAAAGGGUGCGUAGGUGGUUUGGCAAGUUGGUAGCGUAAUCCCGGGGCUCAACCUCGGUGCUACUACCAAAACUGUUGAACUUGAGUGCAGGAGGGGUGAAUGGAAUUCCCAGUGUAGCGGUGGAAUGCGUAGAUAUUGGGAAGAACACCAGCGGCGAAGGCGAUUCACUGGACUGUAACUGACACUGAGGCACGAAAGCGUGGGGAGCAAACAGGA